AUGGAGGCGACGCGCAAGGCCGUCAGCGGCCACCUCGUGGUCGGACGCCUCUUGUCCCCUUUCCAAGCAAAUUUGCGCGCCAUCGUCGAUGAGCUUCGGGCCACGACAUGGAAGCACCAAGGAGUGGUCAUUGUACAAGAGGUGGACUCCGAUGACGGAAGCCGUGGCACUAUAAGCGGGGACGGUGUUGUCUUUGCUAAGUUCGACGACAAGGGCGACCCAACCGAGGUUGACCUUGGAGUAAUGGCCAUUUGGGCCCAGGUACGUGACCUCCCUUUUGAGCGUAAGACUGAGAGCAUGGGUUGGACUCUUGGGGAUCAAUUAGGGGAGGUGCUUGAGGUGUCACACCGCAACCAUGUCAUUGUUGAAAAAUUCUUGCGGGUGCGGGUGGAAGUUUUAUUGCAUGAACCUCUAAAGAGUACAGUUGAGUUUACUCCUUUGGGUAGUUCAAAGAUAGUCAAAUAUGAUGUAAGAUAUGAAAAAUUACCUUUGUACUACGAGUGUUGUGGGAUUGUAGGUCAUACAUCCGAGAGAUUUUGUAACAUCCCAAGUGAUAAAAGAGUAGCUAGCUAUCCUAAAAAUCUUAGCGUAGAAGCCUACUGGAAAGGCCAAGGUGCAAGUAAAAGAGCUCUUAUGUUUGGGAGCUCAUCUCGUGGUGAGAAGGCCUCGAUCACCGGCAUCGACAUCAACAAAGCUGCGAAGACGAUGGACGUCGUCAAGGUGGCCUCGGCGGUGAGCGCUCUCACGGUCUCCGAAAAGGAGGCUGUUAAUCCCGCAAAAUCGGCAGCCAUGGCCGUCUUCAUGCUAGUCCAGGAGGGCCGGGAUGCUGGGGCUCCCUCAUCGGUGCUCUUGGAUGUUGCUACUAGUCAGGUGAACCAGGCAAGGGCGCCCUCUGCUCCAGCCAACCUUGGCCAGGAGGGCCAGGGGCUGGCAAUGCACACGGCUUUGCAUGGCCAGGAGGGCCAUGCAACAAAGUGGAUGCACAAUACCAAUGCCCCACGGGUGAAUGCUGCUGCUGCUGCUGGGAAUCACUAUGUUGUACAGAAGAAUCAAGAGAAGACCUUGGUCGGCUGGCCCAAAUUUUAUUCUGCAGACGUUUCCUCCAAGCGUGUGUGUACGGGUAGGGUGGAGAGAGUUAAGAAUGCGGAGGGUGUGAUCACAUAUGUAGCGAAGGAGACAGAUGAGAAGGAGGAGGACUUUGAGCAGAAGGAGAGGGAAUCAGUUGGGGAAGAAAAGGAAAAUGUUGGCGCUUCGGCGGCCUCAGAGGAGGAGGACCGCCGAGCCAAAUGA
rnacentral:rRNA from 1 species